rnacentral:rRNA from 1 species
GACGAACGCUGGCGGCGUGCUUAACACAUGCAAGUCGAACGGAAAGGCCCUGCUUUUGUGGGGUGCUCGAGUGGCGAACGGGUGAGUAACACGUGAGUAACCUGCCCUUGACUUUGGGAUAACUUCAGGAAACUGGGGCUAAUACCGGAUAGGAGCUCCUGCUGCAUGGUGGGGGUUGGAAAGUUUCGGCGGUUGGGGAUGGACUCGCGGCUUAUCAGCUUGUUGGUGGGGUAGUGGCUUACCAAGGCUUUGACGGGUAGCCGGCCUGAGAGGGUGACCGGCCACAUUGGGACUGAGAUACGGCCCAGACUCCUACGGGAGGCAGCAGUGGGGAAUAUUGCACAAUGGGCGGAAGCCAGAUGCAGCAACGCCGCGUGCGGGAUGACGGCCUUCGGGUUGUAAACCGCUUUCGCCGGUGACGAAGCGUGAGUGACGGUAAUGGGUAAAGAAGCACCGGCUAACUACGUG